rnacentral:SRP_RNA from 1 species
GCCAGGUGUGGUGGCGCACGCCUGUAAUCCCAGCUACUCAGGAGGCUGAGGCAGCAGAAUUGCUUGAACCUGGGAGGUGGAGGUUGCAGUGAGACAAGAUUGAGCCACUGCACUCCAGCCUGGGUGACAGAGCAAGACUCUGUCUCAA